ACCUACACCUAUUUGGACAAAAGUUAUCCACGAGCGUUAGCAAUACAACACCAUUUAUGUAUAGUCUAUGGCAAUAUCUAGCAUCAAUCAAAUUUGAAAUUCAAAACCCUGUGUUUCCGUCCUUACCAAAUGAAAUCACACAAACAACUAUAAAUAAACAGUUAUUAUUCUAAAUUGAGAAUAAGUUGUUAUUAUAACGUUAAAAAUGACUUCCAUGCCUUCUGAUUCCGAGUCUAACGUGAGUGGUUUUAUAAGUUAUAGCGACAAAAAUUUUAAGUUCCUUUAUACAUCUAUGAUUGAGAACAUGGAACUAAUAAAUCAAGAUCUGUUACAUAUAGAGAAAAAUAUGAAGAAUAUUGUGCAGCAAUCUGGCCCACUGGAAAGUCAGUUAAAUGUGUUAUUGCAAACUUUACCGAGACCAAACAUACCUUUGCCGAUGGAAACAGAGUAAAUGAAAAUGAAGAUAAAUGAUCACCCAUAUUAGCUUAUAAGAUAUACUUUAUUCAAUAAAAUUCAAUAAUUACAAAAAGAAUGUAGUGACUGGAGGUUCUAUUUUUUACAAAAUAUGUAAUAGGUAUUUAUGUUACAUUUAGAUUAAGAUAUCACUGGGUUACUGGGAUUAUGCUGGUAAGAUUAAAACAUAGGAAAUUGAUUUUUUAUUACGAUCAACCUAGUAAUAAAUAUAUAGCUUCCAUAUUAAUGUACUUAUUAUUUAUAAAAAUUUAUGUACAUUUAGAAAAUUUAUCAUGAAAUAUUAUUUAAUGGAAUGUAUAAUACAAAGAAACUUGAUUGAAUAAUGUUGCUAACUCUCAUUUAUUAUUUGUGUUACACAACAGAGGAUAUAUAAUUCAUAGUAGGAAAUUUGUUUGUUUUGUUUAUAUUUAUUCGGUACUUAUAGUAAAAAGAUUACAAAAAUGGUGUUGUGUUCUAUUUCUACACUAAUAUAAUAAAGACUGUGUCCCCGACUGUGUGGACGUGGGAAA